GGCUCAGUMAGUCCAUAACAAGGGUAACCGAUAAARUUUUGUCCCUGGCSCUCAUGUAAUACCACAAUGAAGSRACCYGCCCCAUGUAUUUCUUGGGAUAAGCGCUGGAAACGGCGUCUAAUACUGGAUAUGUGACGUGAUCGCAUGGUCUGCGUCUGGAAAGAAUUUCGGUUGGGGAUGGGCUCGCGGCCUAUCAGCUUGUUGGUGAGGUAAUGGCUCACCAAGGCGUCGACGGGUAGCCGGCCUGAGAGGGUGACCGGCCACACUGGGACUGAGACACGGCCCAGACUCCUACGGGAGGCAGCAGUGGGGAAUAUUGCACAAUGGGCGCAAGCCUGAUGCAGCAACGCCGCGUGAGGGAUGACGGCCUUCGGGUUGUAAACCUCUUUUAGCAGGGAAGAAGCGAAAGUGACGGUACCUGCAGAAAAAGCGCCGGCUAACUACGUGCCAGCAGCCGCGGUAAUACGUAGGGCGCAAGCGUUAUCCGGAAUUAUUGGGCGUAAAGAGCUCGUAGGCGGUUUGUCGCGUCUGCUGUGAAAUCCGGAGGCUCAACCUCCGGCCUGCAGUGGGUACGGGCAGACUAGAGUGCGGUAGGGGAGAUUGGAAUUCCUGGUGUAGCGGUGGAAUGCGCAGAUAUCAGGAGGAACACCGAUGGCGAAGGCAGAUCUCUGGGCCGUAACUGACGCUGAGGAGCGAAAGGGUGGGGAGCAAACAGGCUUAGAUACCCUGGUAGUCCACCCCGUAAACGUUGGGAACUAGUUGUGGGGUCCAUUCCACGGAUUCCGUGACGCAGCUAACGCAUUAAGUUCCCCGCCUGGGGAGUACGGCCGCAAGGCUAAAACUCAAAGGAAUUGACGGGGACCCGCACAAGCGGCGGAGCAUGCGGAUUAAUUCGAUGCAACGCGAAGAACCUUACCAAGGCUUGACAUAUACGAGAACGGGCCAGAAAUGGUCAACUCUUUGGACACUCGUAAACAGGUGGUGCAUGGUUGUCGUCAGCUCGUGUCGUGAGAUGUUGGGUUAAGUCCCGCAACGAGCGCAACCCUCGUUCUAUGUUGCCAGCACGUAAUGGUGGGAACUCAUGGGAUACUGCCGGGGUCAACUCGGAGGAAGGUGGGGAUGACGUCAAAUCAUCAUGCCCCUUAUGUCUUGGGCUUCACGCAUGCUACAAUGGCCGGUACAAAGGGCUGCAAUACCGCGAGGUGGAGCGAAUCCCAAAAAGCCGGUCCCAGUUCGGAUUGAGGUCUGCAACUCGACCUCAUGAAGUCGGAGUCGCUAGUAAUCGCAGAUCAGCAACGCUGCGGUGAAUACGUUCCCGG
rnacentral:rRNA from 1 species